GUUGACCUCGGAUCAGCAGGGAUACCCGCUGAACUUAA
rnacentral:rRNA from 1 species